GUCGUGGUGUCCGAGUGGUUAAGGAGGUAGACUUAAAAUCUACUGGGCUCUGCCUUCACGGGUUCGAAUCCCGUCCACGACG